UACAGAGGGUGCGAGCGUUAAUCGGAAUUACUGGGCGUAAAGCGUGCGCAGGCGGUUCGUUGUGUCGGUGGUGAAAUCCCCGGGCUUAACCUGGGAAUGGCCAUGGAAACUGGCGAACUGGAGUGUGGCAGAGGGGGUGGAAUUCCCGGUGUAGUGGUGAAAUGCGUAGAUAUCGGAAGGAACAUCAGUGGCGAAAGCGACUUCCUGGACCAGUACCGACGUUCAGGCACGAAAGCGUGGGGAGCAAACAGG
rnacentral:rRNA from 1 species